rnacentral:rRNA from 1 species
GGCUAACGCUGGCGGCGUGCCUAAUGCAUGCAAGUCGAGCGGGCUACAGUCUUCGGAUUGUAGCUUAGCGGCGAACGGGUGAGUAACACGUAGGUAAUCUACCCUUCAGAGGAGGACAACCUCAGGAAACUGAGGCUAAACCUUCAUACGUUCACUGGUAGGGAUACUGGUGAAGAAAGAGUUACCUUAGUGGUAGCUGCUGAAGGAUGAGCCUGCGGCCCAUCAGGUAGUUGGUGAGGUAACGGCUCACCAAGCCGAAGACGGGUAACCGGUCUGAGAGGAUGUCCGGUCACACUGGGACUGAGACACGGCCCAGACUCCUACGGGAGGCAGCAGCAGGGAAUCUUGGGCAAUGGGCGAAAGCCUGACCCAGCGACGCCGCGUGGAGGAAGAAGUCCUUCGGGGCGUAAACUCCUGGACUGGGGGACGAGGAAGGACGGUACCCCAGUAGAAAGGGACGGCUAACUACGUG